CUUAAUUCUUACUUCGUUACGCUUAACCUGGCAACAAGAGAUUGGCGCUACAAGACUGGACUGUUCCGUUGUAUGACUACUGACUAGAAAUGGUCGCAUAGGGUGGUGUAAAAAGCUGGCUAUUGCUCUUAUGCAAAGGUUAAUUAGUCAUGGGCACCGCUGUUCAGUUUCGUUGCAACUGGUGUCUUGUGUUUUAUCAACGUGUCAAUCGUAUCAGGCGUGAAGCGCCAGUUUUGUUUGAAAUUAUCCUCGCACUUUUAAUCCUAUGCAUUUUCUUAGUAAUGGACGUCGUUUGGCUGGGUCACGUGCACGCACAGGAGAUACAAGAACUUGAUGAGUUGCACUCUAGCGACCUCGAGCGGUUCCGAAAACAGUUUGAUUCACAA